rnacentral:rRNA from 1 species
GAUGAACGCUGGCGGCGUGCUUAACACAUGCAAGUCGAACGGUGAAGGCGGAGCUUGCUCUGCUGGAUCAGUGGCGAACGGGUGAGUAACACGUGAGCAAUCUGCCCCUGACUCUGGGAUAAGCGCUGGAAACGGCGUCUAAUACUGGAUACGAGCUGCGAAGGCAUCUUCAGCAGCUGGAAAGAAUUUCGGUCAGGGAUGAGCUCGCGGCCUAUCAGCUUGUUGGUGAGGUAAUGGCUCACCAAGGCGUCGACGGGUAGCCGGCCUGAGAGGGUGACCGGCCACACUGGGACUGAGACACGGCCCAGACUCCUACGGGAGGCAGCAGGGGGGAAUAUUGCACAAUGGGCGAAAGCCUGAUGCAGCAACGCCGCGUGUGGGACGACGGCCUUCGGGUUGUAAACCUCUUUUAGCAGGGAAGAAGCGAAAGUGACGGUACCUGCAGAAAAAGCGCCGGCUAACUACGUG